AUACGGAGGGUGCCAGCGUUAAUCGGAAUUACUGGGCGUAAAGGGCGCGUAGGCGGUCUAUCAAGUCAGGUGUGAAAUCCCACGGCUCAACCGUGGAGGUGCAUCUGAAACUGAUAGACUUGAGUAUGGGAGAGGAAAGUGGAAUUCCCGGUGUAGAGGUGAAAUUCGUAGAUAUCGGGAGGAACACCAGUGGCGAAGGCGACUUUCUGGACCAAUACUGACGCUGAGGCGCGAAAGCGUGGGGAGCAAACAGGAUUAGAUACCCUAGUAGUCC
rnacentral:rRNA from 1 species